rnacentral:rRNA from 1 species
UACAGAGGUCCCAAGCGUUGUUCGGAUUCACUGGGCGUAAAGGGUGCGUAGGUGGCCAGGUAAGUUUGGUGUGAAAGCUCGGAGCUUAACUCCGAAAAGUCAUUGAAUACUAUCUGGCUGGAGGGUCGGAGGGGAGACUGGAAUUCUCGGUGUAGCAGUGAAAUGCGUAGAUAUCGAGAGGAACACCAGUGGCGAAGGCGGCAUCCUGGACCGACACUGACGCUGAGGCGCGAAAGCUAGGGGAGCAAACGGG